rnacentral:lncRNA from 1 species
UGUAAUCUGACGACCUAGACCUCCAUCAGCCCAUUUUGCACUUGAGAAAACUGAAGUGAAUGUCUUGUACAUAGUGAAUAAUAGAGCCAUGAUUGUUGAUACAACUUUGGUGAUGUUUCCAUUUUAUUUCCUGUCUGGCAUGAACAUGGCUGUCUAGAACUGGGCAACCAUGCAAUAUUUCUACCUGGAGCAGCAUCGACCCAUUUUCCUGAUGAGAAACUGUGUUUAGGAUGUGGCUCUCCAGAACAUGGCAACCAUGUAAUCUUCCUAUCUGGAGCAGCACCGACCCAUUUUCCUGAUGAGAAACUGUGGUGAGUAUCGUUUAUAUCGCGAACAACAGAGCUAUGAAUAUUGAUACAACUUUGGUGAUGUUUCCAUUGUGCUUCCCCUCUGUCAUGAACAUGGCUAUCUAGAACUCGACCGCCAUAUAAUCUUUCGUAUCUAGACUUCCAUCAGCCCAUUUUCCAGAUGAGAAAACUGAAGAGAAUAUCUAGUAGAUAAUAAAAUAGAGCCGUGAUUAGUGAGACA